rnacentral:rRNA from 1 species
CAGACGGGUGAGUAACGCGUGGGAACAAUACCUCUUGGUUCGGAACAACACAGGGAAACUUGUGCUAAUACCGGAUAAGCCCUUACGGGGAAAGAUUUAUCGCCGAGAGAUUGGCCCGCGUCUGAUUAGCUAGUUGGUGAGGUAAGAGCUCACCAAGGCGACGAUCAGUAGCUGGUCUGAGAGGAUGAUCAGCCACAUUGGGACUGAGACACGGCCCAA